rnacentral:rRNA from 1 species
CCUACGGGGGGCAGCAGUGGGGAAUAUUGCGCAAUGGGCGAAAGCCUGACGCAGCGACGCCGCGUGAGGGAUGAAGGUCUUCGGAUCGUAAACCUCUGUCAGCAGGGAAGAACGGUCACUGUGCUAAUCAGCAGUGAAUUGACGGUACCUGCAAAGGAAGCACCGGCUAACUCCGUGCCAGCAGCCGCGGUAAUACGGAGGGUGCGAGCGUUAAUCGGAAUUACUGGGCGUAAAGCGCUCGUAGGCGGUAUGUCACGUCAAGGGGGAAAUCCCCGCGCUCAACGUGGGAACUGCCUUUGAAACUGGCAAACUGGAGUGUGUGAGAGGAUAGUGGAAUUCCAGGUGUAGGAGUGAAAUCCGUAGAUAUCUGGAGGAACAUCAGUGGCGAAGGCGACUAUCUGGCACAUAACUGACGCUGAGGAGCGAAAGCGUGGGUAGCAAACAGGAUUAGAUACCCCGGUAGUC